AAGCUGCGAAGAUGGCGGAGUAAGGCGUGCCGCUGCAAACUGGCCUCUGGGCCGGGGGCGAGCAGCCCCCGGGAGGCCGAGUGCAUCUGUUGGACCGUGCGAGGAGAAGAAAAAAAAUAUCGGCCAGAGGAGAGGAACUAACCGAACAUUCUUCCUCCCUACCUUAUAGAGGGGAGUGGUCAUCUACACUAAAGCAAAGUGUUAGGCGCGUCCGUGCGAAGAGACCACCAAACAGGCUUUGUGUUCCUUAUCACAGGAAGAAAAUUUUCCUUGACCUUUAGGUGCUUUUAUAUUCAUCUCAAAAACAAAAUUCUGAACUCAGGACUUGGCAAGAGGUGCAAGCGAAGAUGCAGUGCUACCUUAUUUUUCAUUUUUAUUUUUUGGAGACAGAGUCUCACUCUGUUGCCCAAGCUGAGUGCAGUGGUGCAAUCAUGGCUCACUGCAACCUCAACCUCCAGGGCUCAAGCGAUCCUCCUGCUUCAGCCUCCUCCAAAGUAGCUGGGACCACAAGAGGGCACCACCACGCCCUGCUAAUUUUUUAUUUUUUGUAGAGUGGGGUCUUGAUAUGUUGCCCAGGCUGGUCUUGAACUCCGGACCUGGUGAUCCACCCACUUCGGCUUCCCGAAGUGCUGGGUUUACAGAUGUAAGCCACUGCACCCGGCCUAUUCUUUUCUUUACAUUUUAGAUAUUGUUUUGAGUCAGCUUAUGCAAAAGUACCUGUCCUAAUCUUUCUGUUUUUAUUUUGUAUUUCUAGGUGUCUCUAUGUUGUCUCCUAGAGUGGGUAGUCCUGCUUCUUUUACCCAGUUACUUUCCCGUUUUUGAAAUGUGGCUAUCACUUCUCUACACAUUACCUCCAUGAUUUGGAAUGGAAAAGGCCACUUUUCUUUUUGUUCUGCCUCUCAAAUUCAACACAGAGGAGCUCCUAGGAUUCCAGUUAUCCUGCUAACAUCUCCAGGAAGAAAGAAGCAACUCACAUGGGUCUUUUGCUGUUUGCUUAAUUAUAAAGACAUCAUUUUGCAAGCAGAAGGCUGAGUUUCAUUUGAAACAGGUGCUUAGGUGGUGGUAUUUGUGAAUACUUUUCAUUCCAAGCAAGAAGACUAAAGAAGUAGCAAGUAUGAAUGACUUCAGGGUUUAAAAAAAAUGUCUUCCAGUUUCAGCCACUACCAUGAUAAGCACAGUUGAGACUGCAGCAGUAAAUUCCAAAUAUGUGUUUCUAAUUUGACGUGAAAGAUACUAAAAAUUUAUAUUUGUAUAUUUAAAUCCUGGCUCAUCCUGUGACAUAGAUUUACUGAAUAGGAACAAAGGCCCAAUUUUAAACAAAAACCUAGGCCGGGUGUGGUGGCUCACACCUGUAAUCCCAACACUUUGGGAGGCCAAGGCAGGCAAAUCACCUGAGGUUGGGAGUUUGAGACCAGCCUGACCAACAUGGAGAAACCCCAUCUCUACUAAAAAUAGAAAAUUAGCCAGGUGUGGUGGUAGAUACGUGUAAUCCCAGCUACUCGUGAGGCUGAGGCAGGAGAAUUGCUUGAAUCCGGGAGGCGGAGGUUGCAGUGAACUGAGAUUGCACCACUGCACUCCAGCCUGGGCGACAGAGUGAGACUCCGUCUCAGAAAAAUAAAAAACAACUUUGGACAUAGAGGAGUUGGGGGCAGAGGGGGGAGGAUGAGAGAAUUUUCCAUGUAACUCCUUUUCCUUAAGAAAAAGAAGCAAAAAUCCCUCAUGCAGUGCCAUCUGACUUUAUGGUGUUUCACAUUAUAUAGUUACUUUUUUUAAUAAACGCAUAAGAUUAACUCUUCCUGCAACCCAAGGUGGAUACUUGGAUGUUUGAUUUUUAUUUAUUUAUUUAUUUAUUUUUUGAGGCAGUCUCUCUCUGUUGCCCAGGCUGGAGUGAUGCGUGAUUUCUGCUCACUGCAGUCUCUCCCACCCGGGUUCAAGCGAUUCUCCUGCCUCAGCCUCCCAAGUAGCUAGGAUUACAGGCGCGCACCACCACGCUCAGCCUGAUUUCUAGGCUGAAAAGGCUGGGACUCAGGUACUUUCCCCAGUUGGGACUGAACUUUCUCAUCAGAGAAUGGGCCUCAGAAGCAAUGUUCCCAAACUUGUGGUUGGGUCAUCGUGGAAAAGAAACCUCAAAUAAGAAAAAUAAUUACAAUAAGAAAUGGAUUUUCUUUUUUCCCACAACAGUUAUACAUUAUAAAGAACAGACUGUCGUAGAAAACUGUCUUUGCUUCCAAAUCAGCAGAGGACCAUUGUAUGUAUUGUCAGGUCUUUAUAUAAGAGUGAAACCUUUAUUUAUGCUUCUUGUGAGUAGAGAAUAAAUUUUAAAACUAAUUAGAUGAAA
ensembl:lncRNA OIP5-AS1 OIP5 antisense RNA 1